GUUGGUGUUUUCAGUAAGGGGUGAGUUUCUAGGCUGAAAUUUCAAUUAAUUGUUUUAAGUUUUGUGAAUAGAGCAUAGGAAUUAGCUAAUGGCAUCAAUUGACAAUUGGUUGGUGUUAAUUUGUUGUUGUAAUGAUAGGUUUAAUGAUUCCAAUAUUUGAACAUGUUGGUAAACCCCUUGAGUAUUUUGGCAAUUGGGUAGUUGAGAUGUUCCCUGCCUAUUUUCAUCGCUUUAUACACAUUUCACGCAAUUUUAAAACCCGCAGCAUCGCGCGGGCACUUUUGCUAGUUUUUACUAAAACUGGCCUACUUAGCAUUUUCCAAAAAUAAAUAAAUAUAUGAGAUAUGACUCAGUGGCGUUGGUAGUGAUUAUGACAACGAGGGAGAUGCUUGUGGUGGCAGAGGAGCAAAACCACAUAAGUAUUUGUUCAAAAUGAUAAUAAAACUGAAAUUAGCUUAAACCCAUAUAUUUCCCCUAUUAGCUUAAAUAAUAAUAAAACUGAAAUUAAAGUUGAAACUCUAGUUGAGUCCUACUCGUAUCUGACAGAGUACUACAUGUUAGCUCUGUGUUAGAACACAUUGGAUUCGAAUUACCGUGAAGAUUGUCUCUGGGCAUCUCUUGUUGUGGACAUAAAAGAAGCUUGGGAGGGAGUUGCAAGUACUCAACCUCUCCCUCAAGCAUCUCUAUAACUUUGUUCAUCGCAGGAGUCAUACACAGAAGGUUUUGUGAACCGUUGCAAGUUUGCCUUUUCUAGUGUGCAGGUGCAGCUUGAAGCAUUUUCUAUGGGCACUGAUUUUUCCUACAAACUCAUCGAUUAAACGGCAUGAAUUAGCUCAAGCCACCUGGAAAUGGCAACCUUUCUUAUUCGGAAAAGUCAACUCUCUCAUCCAUUGCUAUUUGGAACCGACUGGACAACGGCAGAUUAUGCCUUGCAGCAAUUUCUAGAGCUGUUAAAAGCGACUGGCAAGACACGUGGAUCGAAGAAGGCAGCUGCUUCAAACACCAGUGACCUUCCGGCCAACAAGCUGAAGAAUGUACAUCACUUUGUGCACGGUAUGUGGCAACACGGGUAUGCCCAAGCUUGGAAAAAAGUCCGGAAAGUCUAUUUUUCAUAUAAUCUUUGAGAGUCCCAUUGGGUUGCAAUCGAAAUUGAUUUCGUCCGACAUACUGCAACUGUGUAUGACUCAUAUGUUGAAUAUACCAAAUCUUCGAAGCUGGUUACACUUCUGCAACCUGUUAGCGAUACGCUUGCACGAGUGCUGUACAAUAUGAAGUUUUAUGAAGAUUCUGAGGUUGAAGAGGUUAAGCAAAAGGGGCUGUAGAUGUCGAGGUUUACGCCAUUCUCAGUUUGCAUCAUUGCAGGUGUGCCACAACAAAGAGAUGGGCAAGAAUUGUGAAUUUAGUGCAUUUUAUCCAAAUUUUACAUAAAUGCAGUUGUAAUUUCCCAACUUAUUGGCCUCACAGUACGUCUUGCGGAAUCAUGACCGUUCAAUUCAUCGAGCAUCUCAGUGCUGGGCUUUCGGUGCAUAAAAUUGACCCG